rnacentral:ncRNA from 12 species
AGAACGCCGCCAGAUAAACGCGAGGGUGAAUUCACCAGCAUGUUCAACAUGUGGUAGUCGCGCUGGGGGUUCUUUUUUUA